UACAGAGACUGCGAGCGUUAUUCGGAUUCACUGGGCGUAAAGGGUGCGCAGGCGGCCAAGUGUGUGAGGCGUGAAAGCCUGGGGCUUAACUCCAGAAUUGCACCUCAAACUACAUGGCUAGAGCAUUGGAGAGGGUAGCAGAAUUCACGGUGUAGCAGUGAAAUGCGUAGAUAUCGUGAGGAAUACCAGAGGCGAAGGCGGCUACCUGGACAAUUGCUGACGCUCAGGCACGAAAGCGUGGGGGAGCGAACAGG
rnacentral:rRNA from 1 species